CCUACGGGAGGCAGCAGUGGGGAAUCUUGUGCAAUGGACGAAAGUCUGACACAGCCACGCCGCGUGCGGGAAGAAGGCCUUCGGGUUGUAAACCGCUUUCAGCAGGAACGAAAAUGACGGUACCUGCAGAAGAAGAUGCGGCCAACUACGUGCCAGCAGCCGCGGUGAUACGUAGGCAUCAAGCGUUGUCCGGAUUUAUUGGGCGUAAAGAGCUCGUAGGCGGUUCAGCAAGUCGGGUGUGAAAACUCUGGGCUUAACCCAGAGCCUGCACUCGAAACUGCUGUGACUAGAGUUCGGUAGGGGAGCAGGGAAUUCCUAGUGUAGCGGUGAAAUGCGCAGAUAUUAGGAGGAACACCAAUGGCGAAGGCACUGCUCUGGGCCGAUACUGACGCUGAGGAGCGAGAGCGUGGGUAGCAAACAGGAUUAGAUACCCUGGUAGUCCACGCCGUAAACGAUGGGCACUAGGUGUGGGUCUCUAACCAACGAGAUCUGCGCCGUCGCUAACGCAUUAAGUGCCCCGCCUGGGGAGUACGGUCGCAAGACUAAAACUCAAAGGAAUUGACGGCUGAGACGNGCGACGACGACGACGAGGGAGGAGG
rnacentral:rRNA from 1 species